rnacentral:rRNA from 1 species
GAUGAACGCUGGCGGCGUGCCUAAUACAUGCAAGUCGAGCGAACGGACGAGAAGCUUGCUUCUCUGAUGUUAGCGGCGGACGGGUGAGUAACACGUGGAUAACCUACCUAUAAGACUGGGAUAACUUCGGGAAACCGGAGCUAAUACCGGAAAUAUUUUGAACCGCAUGGUUCAAAAGUGAAAGACGGUCUUGCUGUCACUUAUAGAUGGAUCCGCGCUGCAUUAGCUAGUUGGUAAGGUAACGGCUUACCAAGGCAACGAUGCAUAGCCGACCUGAGAGGGUGAUCGGCCACACUGGAACUGAGACACGGUCCAGACUCCUACGGGAGGCAGCAGUAGGGAAUCUUCCGCAAUGGGCGAAAGCCUGACGGAGCAACGCCGCGUGAGUGAUGAAGGUCUUCGGAUCGUAAAACUCUGUUAUUAGGGAAGAACAUAUGUGUAAGUAACUGUGCACAUCUUGACGGUACCUAAUCAGAAAGCCACGGCUAACUACGUG